UACGUAGGGUGCGAGCGUUGUCCGGAAUUAUUGGGCGUAAAGAGCUCGUAGGCGGUCUGUUGCGUCCGCUGUGAAAACUCGGGGCUUAACCCCGAGCCUGCAGUGGAUACGGGCAGACUAGAGGUAGGUAGGGGAGAAUGGAAUUCCCGGUGUAGCGGUGAAAUGCGCAGAUAUCAGGAGGAACACCCAUUGCGAAGGCAGCUCGCUGGGACGUUACUGACGCUGAGACGCGAAAGCGUGGGGAGCAAACAGG
rnacentral:rRNA from 1 species